rnacentral:rRNA from 1 species
UACGAAGGGGGCUAGCGUUGCUCGGAAUCACUGGGCGUAAAGGGUGCGUAGGCGGGUCUUUAAGUCAGGGGUGAAAUCCUGAAGCUCAACUCCAGAACUGCCUUUGAUACUGAGGAUCUUGAGUUCGGGAGAGGUGAGUGGAACUGCGAGUGUAGAGGUGAAAUUCGUAGAUAUUCGGAAGAACACCAGUGGCGAAGGCGGCUCACUGGCCCGGUACUGACGCUGAUGUGCGAAAGCGUGGGGAGCAAACAGG